rnacentral:rRNA from 1 species
UGCCUAACACAUGCAAGUCGAACGCCCUCUUCGGAGGGAGUGGCAGACGGGUGAGUAACGCGUGGGAACCUACCUUUCGGUACGGAACAACAGUUGGAAACGACUGCUAAUACCGUAUACGUCCUUCGGGAGAAAGAUUUAUCGCCGAUAGAGGGGCCCGCGUUGGAUUAGCUUGUUGGUGAGGUAACGGCUCACCAAGGCGACGAUCCAUAGCUGGUCUGAGAGGAUGAUCAGCCACACUGGGACUUAGACACGGCCCAGACUCCUACGGGAGGCAGCAGUGGGGAAUAUUGGACAAUGGGCGCAAGCCUGAUCCAGCCAUGCCGCGUGAGUGAUGACGGCCCUAGGGUUGUAAAGCUCUUUCAGUGGUGAAGAUAAUGACGGUAACCACAGAAGAAGCCCCGGCUAACUCCGUGCCAGCAGCCGCGGUAAUACGGAGGGGGCAAGCGUUGUUCGGAAUUACUGGGCGUAAAGCGCGCGUAGGCGGGUCUUUAAGUCAGAGGUGAAAUCCUGGAGCUCAACUCCAGAACUGCCUUUGAUACUGGAGAUCUUGAGUCCGGAAGAGGUUAGUGGAAUUCCCAGUGUAGAGGUGAAAUUCGUAGAUAUUGAGAAGAACACCAGUGGCGAAGGCGGCUAACUGGUCCGGUACUGACGCUGAG